UCCAGUCAGCAUACAAAGUAGUGCUUUCGUA
rnacentral:piRNA from 1 species